AAAGGCCUCUGGGAGAAACCGCACUUGGAACCUGGGGAAACACCGAGGGUCCUCCUGGACGCAGGGGCUGCCCGGCCCUCAGGGCUCCCUGCCAUGGGGCUGCACAUUGGCCCCUCUGUGCAGCUCCCAGGAGAGAUGGGGGUAUGUGGCUGGGCAGACACGUGUGUGCACACGGGGACAGAGCAGAGAGAGAGAGAGAGAGAGAGGUCUUCCAUCCAAUGGUUCACUCUCCAGAUGACCGAAACAGCCGGAGCUGUGCAGAUGCGAAGCCAGGAGCAGGAGCCUCUUCCUGGUCUCCCACGUGGGUACAGGGGCCCAAGCACUUGAGCCAUCCUCCACUGCUUCCCCAGGCCAUAGCAGAGAGCUGGACAGGAAGUGGAGCAGCCGGGACUUGAACUGGCACCCAUAUGUUAUGCCAGCGCUUCAGGCCAGGGCUUUAACCCACUGCACCACAGCGCCGCCCCACAAUUCAUUUUCUAUUAUCAUUGAACCAUUGUAUUUUAUUGUGUCUUUCAAAUUUUGAUUAAUCUCAAAUCUUUACCAAAAUUACAGAGUUGGUUUUCUCCAGAGUGCACAGCAAUUGGAGGCACACACUAAGUAUUGGCAGGGGCUUCUAGUCCAGUGUGGGGCUCAGCCAGGUGUCUGUAGGAGAUGGGGCAAGUGUGAGGUGACACCCUUUUCACAGAAGUGGAAAUUCCCAGCGAGGGAGGACUGGGGACUGGGCGGGGGAAGAGGAUGACCCUCGAGGGCUGGAGGGCGACUGAGUGGUGUCCUGGCAUCCUGAAAACAACAAGCGAGCUGGGGAAGUUGAGCAAAGUCACUGUCUCUUUUUAAAAAGCUUUUUGCAGUCUCUUUAUUUGUACAACAGACUAUGAUAUGUCCUUUGCAAACCUGGUGCUAGAAUUAAGUGAAAGACCAUGCGAAGCACCUGUUGUAUAGGAGACAGAAAACACAAAAGAGCUGCUACAGUAGCUGCACCUAGGAGUUGUGGCAGGUGGUAAAGCCAACAGUCUGACAACUUGGAGGCCAACUACAGGGUCUUUGGAAUGUUCCAGAAGCAAAUGCCAUGAAGGCUGCUCCUGUCACACUCCACGUGAGUGGGGGCGAGCAGGUGACUCUCGCACAGGUAGGUACGGAAGAAGCUGUGUUAAUGGACGAAGCGCAGAGGGAGAUGGUUAAGGUGCAAAAUGCUGAGACAUCGGGGUCUUCCCUGUGUCAGUGUGCAGGAAGGCAGAGGGAGAAAGUGGGGCUGGGGACCAGGCUUCCUACCUGGGAUGGAGCAGGCCUGAGGGGAGGAGCUCUCUCCCACAGUGGCUCCAUCUCAGAUCUGCAUAGGGAUUCUUUGCCCACCCUGCCCAACGUGCCGCCCUCACUCCCAGCCCCCACAGUGCCGCCCAAGCACCGCAGGGUCAUUCUGUGCUGUCCAUCACCUCCUUGAUCCAGUCCACGUAGUUGAGCACUUUGGUGUAGAAGCUGUACCCAGUGCCACACCCGACGCCCCAGGAUACGAUGCCGGUGGCCACCCAGCGAUGGGCGUGGUCAUCCCAUACCACGUAGACGCUGCCGCUGUCUCCCUGGCAGGCACUGUUCUCCCACGUGUUGUCCCUGACACAGAACAUGUUGUCGGAAAACACCUCGGUCCUCUGCCUCUCCCGGAGCCAGGCCUCGCAGGCCUCCCUGGGAGCUAUGGGGAGCCUCGAGUAUUUCAACUUGGUGGGUAACCGGCCCAUGGCCAUGCCAAACCCGCUCACGUAGCCCGACUUGCCGCUGAGGUAGAGGGUCUCGUUGUCUGGCAGACAGACAGGGAGGAGGUGGGGGCCCAGCGGGACGCUCUGCUGGAGCUCCAGGAGGGCGAUGUCCCCGGUGAAGUUGUGGGACUCAUCUGGACGGUAAUCCGGGUGCAUAACGACCCGGCGGACGGGGUGGUUUCCCAGCUUGAUCAUCUCUUCCACGUCCGUGUGGCCCAGAAACACAUCCACACUCCGGGGCUUCUCCGGAAAGACGCUGUCCUUGGGGUGGAUGGUGUGGGCCGCCGUCAGGAUCCACCUGUCGCCCAGCAGGGCCCCGCCCCCGCGGCCGUAGAUGCUGGUGAGGGCUUGCCAGGGGAAGUUGCCCAGCUGAGCUUUGGAGGAGCCACGGCUCGUCUGGUCCUGGACAAUGGGGGUGACUGGCCGCCCGCACACUGGGAGGGAGGAGAGGUCAGGAGAGAGGAUCAGUAGCUGUGGUCGGGCUUCAAGGUCGCAGAUACGGCUAUGCAUGGGGUCACACUCUACUGUUCUGGCCCCCAACUGUAGACCAUAUGGAGAGCCAUUAGCCGUGAUUCUGACGCUUCUGGGCACAAACCCUGCAUGGGACUCAGGAGGAUGGACAGAAGGCUGGGGAGCACAGAUGAGCACAGGGUUGGGGCUGACUCUGCUGGACUCUCCCUCCUGCCUCCACAGCAAAGGCAUAAAGAGGCAUACAUAACCAGGAGCCGAAAAUGAGAAGAGGAGUAGCUGUUCAACCCAGCAGUCACAGCACCCACUGAGGUGCUCGUGUUCACGUCGGGAGGGCCUGGCUGAGACACCUGCUCCACUCCUCACUGCAACUUCCUGCUAACGCGGACCCCAGGAGGCACAGGCGAUCUUUCAAGUAAUUGGGUUCCUGCCCCUCCCUUGGGAGACCUGGCUCAAGCUCCCAGCUCUGAGCUUUGGCCCUGGCCCAGGCUGUUGUGGGCAUUUGGAGAGUGAACUGGUGGAUGGGAGCGCUCUAUGCUUCUUUGUGUGUCUGAUUUUCUCUUUCUCUAAGAAAGAAAGAAAAAUUUCAGAUAACAGCGUGAACGCCGCGGCAGACCGCGUGGCGAUGGACAAGCGGCAACCUGAGGCUGCAAUGGUAGAAGCCCGCGUGAAGCAAGAAGGCUCUCAUCACAGAACCCUGGAAAGCCUCAGGCACCGCACCGGGGCGUGAAGAACUCCUGGGGACAAGGGGACAGAGCCUGUAGGAGGGGCAGGUGCUGGUUCAGUCGCUUGGGAGCAGUGCGCGCCUCCGUAUCAGGGUCUUGGUUUGAGUCCUGGCUCCUCUGCUACUGAUCCGGCUUCCUGCUAAUGUGCAUCCUGGGAGGCAGAGGUGGCGGCUCAAGCAGUUAGCACCAUCCACGUGAGAGACCCAGAUGGAGUUCCUGGCUCCUGUCUUCAGCCUGGCCUAGGCUUGACUAUUGCAGGCACUCGGGGAGUGGACCAGUGGAUGAAAGAUCUGUCUCUCUCCUCCUCUCUCCAUUUCAAAUAAAGUGGGGGAAUAAAAGUCCUUGUGAGGACACCUCAGAAUCCGAGAUCCUCCCACCCACCUAGCACCUCUGGGCAGCUCCCUCCGUCCCCCAGCAGAAGACCUGAGCUUGACCUUGACCCAGAGGCUGUGGACUUGGGGGUCCCUGGCUUUUUACUCUAUAGAUGCGCAAUGUUUCUGUGCCCCUUCACAAGUCUUCAAACUGCAGGGCCAUCCUGCUGCCCUCUCCCGUGCUCUGUGGGGCCUGGGUGGCAGCCAGGGACGGCGGUGCCGGUGGGAGCCCGUGCCUGGGGUACACCUUGGCCUCCUAGGUGAGCUGACUUGAGAGCCCUGCGUGCCUCCUCUAGAUGGCUGACUGAGGGCACAGCCACCUCCCACGUCCCCUGGAGCCCCUCCCCAGAGGCCCUGAAGGACCCCAGCCCAGCUCCAGCUUACUG